rnacentral:rRNA from 1 species
GGAUUAGAUACCCUGGUAGUCCACGCCGUAAACGUUGGGAACUAGAUGUAGGGACCAUUCCACGGUUUCUGUGUCGCAGCUAACGCAUUAAGUUCCCCGCCUGGGGAGUACGGUCGCAAGACUAAAACUCAAAGGAAUUGACGGGGGCCCGCACAAGCGGCGGAGCAUGCGGAUUAAUUCGAUGCAACGCGAAGAACCUUACCAAGGCUUGACAUAUAGAGGAAACGUCUGGAAACAGUCGCCCCGCAAGGUCUCUAUACAGGUGGUGCAUGGUUGUCGUCAGCUCGUGCCG